rnacentral:rRNA from 1 species
CAAAACGACUCUCGGCAACGGAUAUCUCGGCCCUCGCAUCGAUGAAGAACGUAGCGAAAUGCGAUACGUGGUGUGAAUUGCASAAUCCCGUGAACCAUCGAGUUUUUGAACGCAAGUUGCGCCCAAAGCCUUUUGGUUGAGGGCCCGUCUGCCUGGG